GACAGAGGGUGCGAACGUUGUUCGGAAUUACUGGGCGUAAAGCGCGUGUAGGCGGCUCGAUAAGUCGGAUGUGAAAUCCCACGGCUCAACCAUGGAAGUGCAUUCGAAACUGCGUAGCUAGAGUUUUGGAGAGGAAGGCGGAAUACUCGGUGUAGAGGUGAAAUUCGUAGAUAUCGAGUGGAACACCGGUGGCGAAGGCGGCCUUCUGGACAAUGACUGACGCUGAAACGCGAAAGCGUGGGGAGCAAACAGG
rnacentral:rRNA from 1 species